rnacentral:rRNA from 1 species
GACGUAGGGGGCGAGCGUUGUCCGGAUUCAUUGGGCGUAAAGAGCGCGUAGGCGGCCCGGAAAGUGGGGUGUGAAAACCCGAGGCUCAACCUCGGGCCUGCAUUCGAUACGGGCUAGCUAGAGUGUGGUAGGGGAGAUCGGAAUUCCUGGUGUAGCGGUGAAAUGCGCAGAUAUCAGGAGGAACACCGGUGGCGAAGGCGGAUCUCUGGGCCUUACCUGACGCUGAGGCGCGAAAGCUAGGGGAGCGAACAGG